AUGGCAACAAUGGAUAAGAUAAAAAAAGUGGAAGAAUGGAAGGAAAGUGCGAACCGGGUCCAGCGGAAGUUGUGGGGGAGCGUUGGGGACGUCGGAAGCUUUUCCGGACCCACUUCUUUCUCUUCUUUCAGUCCUCCACUUUUGAUUCUACGUGUGUUAUUUUUACAUCAUUAUGGUGACUUGGUAUUGAAAAUGUAA